CAGCAGCCGCGGGAAUACAGAUGGUGCGAGCGUUAAUCGGAUUUACUGGGCGUAAAGCGUGCGUAGGCGGCUUCUUAAGUCGGAUGUGAAAUCCCUGAGCUUAACUUAGGAAUUGCAUUCGAUACUGGGAAGCUAGAGUAUGGGAGAGGAUGGUAGAAUUCCAGGUGUAGCGGUGAAAUGCGUAGAGAUCUGGAGGAAUACCGAUGGCGAAGGCAGCCAUCUGGCCUAAUACUGACGCUGAGGUACGAAAGCAUGGGGAGCAAACAGGAUUAGAUACCCCAGUAGUCCCUGUCUCUUAUAC
rnacentral:rRNA from 1 species